AAGGAAGAAACCGAAAAUCCUAAAACAGAGUAGGUC
rfam:Kordia algicida OT-1 1103813601120 genomic scaffold, whole genome shotgun sequence.